rnacentral:rRNA from 1 species
AUUGAACGCUGGCGGCAGGCCUAACACAUGCAAGUCGAGCGGAAGCAGGGAACUUCCUGCUGUUUUCCUCGCCGGAGGGGUGCGUGAUGCCUAUGACUCUGCCUCUUCGUGAGGGAUGACGUCCGCAACUGGGAACUAAUACCAAUUACGUAUUACGGCGGAAGGUCGAGGAUCUUCGGACCUCACCCUCUUGGCUUCGGCUAGGCCGGAUUAGCUAGUUGGUGGGGUAAAGGCCCACCAAGGCGACGAUCCGUAACUGGUCUGAGAGGAUGAUCAGUCACACUGGAACUGAGACACGGUCCAGACUCCUACGGGAGGCAGCAGUGGGGAAUAUUGGACAAUGGGCGAAAGCCUGAUGCAGCCAUGCCGCGUGUAUGAAGAAGGCCUUCGGAUUGUAAAGCACUUUAAGUGGGGAGGAAGGGAAGUAAGUUAAUACCUUUGCUUAUUGACGUUACCAGCAGAAGAAGCACCGGCUAACUCCGUG